CCACCCAAUCACUGGGUGACUCCUAUGUAACCACCAAGCCAGCCACUUAGCCAGAAAAUGUUUAGUGUCUGGCGCGACAGUGGUCUCUAAUGACACUUGAGUGGAAAAAUGCGUGGAAAUGGCAAUUAAAAUAUGGUCGCCGAUAUGAACCCAGCACCUUUUUGGCGGAAACAAAAGCGUUUACCGUACGAAUUAUUAUUUAGUAAAGUGCACUAAAAACGGCAAGACUGGUGCUACACGUACGUAGAGAUGGCCAAGUAGCGAUGACACUUGUAUCGAAUAGAUAUCGGCUACGAGAGUUUUCUCUGCUAAUAUUAGGCACUGAUUUUAUUGCAAGCUAAAUUAUAGUUUGGCUAAAAAUAAAAUACGUCACACCUAAUGGUUCAUAUAAUUUCCUGCUUUUAUUUGUUUUCCUGCUGCACUUGCACCAGUCAAGUCGAUAGUUGCAGCAGAGUUGCCAGAUGUCUAUGACACUAGAGGUUAAUUUGAAUGUAAAGUAGCACGGCACCAAAAUAUAGCAAAAACAAAUCGCAAAGUAUAUCUGAUGUAAAUAAAUGUAUUACUACUGCUUCUGAAAAUUUAUGUAAUACAUUUGAGUGCAGAAUAAAUGAUUAUUGCAACCUAGA